rnacentral:rRNA from 1 species
UACGGAGGGUGCAAGCGUUAUCCGGAUUCACUGGGUUUAAAGGGUGCGUAGGUGGGCAGGUAAGUCAGUGGUGAAAUCUCCGGGCUUAACCCGGAAACUGCCGUUGAUACUAUCUGUCUUGAAUAUAGUGGAGGUGAGCGGAAUAUGUCAUGUAGCGGUGAAAUGCUUAGAUAUGACAUAGAACAUCGAUUGCGAAGGCAGCUCGCUACGCUAUUAUUGACACUGAGGCACGAAAGCGUGGGAUCAAACAGG